CCUACGGGAGACAGCAGUGGGGAAUAUUGCGCAAUGGGCGAAAGCCUGACGCAGCGACGCCGCGUGAGGGAUGAAGGUCUUCGGAUCGUAAACCUCUGUCAGCAGGGAAGAACGGUCACUGUGCUAAUCAGCAGUGAAUUGACGGUACCUGCAAAGGAAGCACCGGCUAACUCCGUGCCAGCAGCCGCGGUAAUACGGAGGGUGAGAGCGUUAAUCGGAAUUACUGGGCGUAAAGCGCUCGUAGGCGGUAGGUCAAGUCAAGGGGGAAAUCCCCGCGCUCAACGUGGGAACUGCCUUUGAAACUGGCAAACUGGAGUGUGUGAGAGGAUAGUGGAAUUCCAGGUGUAGGAGUGAAAUCCGUAGAGAUCUGGAGGAACAUCAGUGGCGAAGGCGACUAUCUGGCACAUAACUGACGCUGAGGAGCGAAAGCGUGGGUAGCAAACAGGAUUAGAUACCCUGGUAGUC
rnacentral:rRNA from 1 species